GUGUACAGCUAUGGGAUCCUUGUGUUAGAGAUUUUCUCAAAACGAAGACCAACCGAUGAGAUGUUUAAAGAGGGAUUAAAUCUCCAUGAUUUUGUGAGCUCAGCAUUGCCAGAAAGACUUGUAGAAGUUGUGGAUCUAACCCUUGUCUCCAGAGAAAUUUCAGAUGAAGAAUUUGAAGAUGCAGAAGAAAUCAAUAGCUAUGAAAAUUUGAGCCAUGUGACAACAA
rnacentral:misc_RNA from 1 species